rnacentral:rRNA from 1 species
GAUGAACGCUAGCGGCAGGCCUAACACAUGCAAGUCGAGGGGCAGCACAAAGAUAGUUUACUAUUUUGGUGGCGACCGGCGCACGGGUGAGUAACGCGUAUGCAACCUACCUUAUACAGGAGUAUAGCCCGAAGAAAUUCGGAUUAAUCCUCCAUAGUAUUUUCUAAUGGCAUCAUUUGGAAAAUUAAAGCUUCGGCGGUAUAAGAUGGGCAUGCGUCCUAUUAGCUAGAUGGUAAGGUAACGGCUUAUCAUGGCAACGAUAGGUAGGGGGCCUGAGAGGGUGAUCCCCCACACUGGUACUGAGACACGGACCAGACUCCUACGGGAGGCAGCAGUGAGGAAUAUUGGGCAAUGGAGGCAACUCUGACCCAGCCAUGCCGCGUGCAAGAAGAAUGCCCUAUGGGUUGUAAACUGCUUUUAUUUAGGAAUAAACCCUUCUACGUGUAGAAGGCUGAAUGUACUAAACGAAUAAGCACCGGCUAACUCCGUGCCAGCAGCCGCGGUAAUACGGAGGGUGCAAGCGUUAUCCGGAAUC